rnacentral:lncRNA from 1 species
AUGUUUUACGGGUGGCAUGGGCCACACGCCCCUCUGUGCCUUCCCUCCACCUCCCUUCUCUCUCCAGAUAACCAGCUGCUUCUCCAUCUGAGUCAGAGCAGUGCCCCAAGAGAGAUGGAGAGAGCGGAUUGGUGCGACUGGACGUCUCAGGAGAGAUGGAGAGAGCGGAUUGGUGAGACUGGACGUCUCAGGAGAGAUGGAGAGAGAGGAUUGGUGCGACUGGACGCCUCAGGAGAGAUGGAGAGAGAGGAUUGGUGCGACUGGACGCCUCAGGAGAGAUGGAGAGCGGAUUGGUGCAACUGGACACCUCAGGAGAGAUGGAGAGAGCGGAUUGGUGCGACUGGACGCCUCAGGAGAGAUGGAGAGAGCGGAUUGGUGCGACUGGACGCCUCAGGAGAGAUGGAGAGAGCGGAUUGGUGCGACUGGACGCCUCAGGAGAGAUGGAGAGAGCGGAUUGGUGCGACCGGACGCCGCAGGUCGGAGGUCAGAUCUGCAUGCGCCGGGGAUCUUUGUGUUCAAUCUCUGUGAGGUCACCUAACCCCCAAGCACGCUAACACACGCCCCCUCAAACUGUUGAUCUGCCCUGACACACACACACACACACACACACACACACACACACACACACACACACACUACUGAGUCGUUCAGCAGAGACAGGGUUCAGAACCCAAGGGACUGGGCCAUAGUCACAAAAGGGGCCCUGAAAUGUUUUUAUAAUGAUCACCCCCCUCCGUUAUCGUUAACCCCUACCUCCCUCCCUCCCUCCCUCCCUCCCUCACCAGAACACACGAUCCCCCACUCCUCUCUUUCACUCUCUCCAUCCUUCUUUAAUCUGGGACAGAUGAUUCCCUGUGUGUGUGGCAGGAGUCAAUGUGCUGUCGUAAGGAACACAGUCGUGACCCCAUGCAUAAGAGCACUUAACCAAAUCAUGAAUUAUGAACCAUAAAGAAAUGAAUAAUAGAUCAGAGAUAAUGUCUUUCUCCUGAAGCUGCAGAGAUAGGACUGCAGAGAUAGGACUGCAGAGAUAGGACUGCAGAGAUAGGACUGCAGAGAUUGGUCACAGAGACAGCACACUUGUUUAACAUCCCAAAGACAGCACCCUAUGCAGGGCAAUGUCCCCUUUACUACCCUGGGGCAUUUAGAUCUCCUUAGACCAGAGGGAAGACUGCCCCUACUGGCCCUCUAACACCACCUCCAGUAGCAUCUGGUCUCCCAUUCACUUGAAGCUGAUUUCCUGGUGUUUUUACAGUCUUUAAAGUCCAACAAUACAAAUAAAUAAAUAUACAUCUUUUUGGUUUGCUCAAACCACACGGGGGACAAAUAAAACCAAUAAAACCAGUUGGCUGUCAGUUGGGGAACCCUGCCAUUGACCAAGAAGGCUGUUUCACUCAUGUAUUCCUUGGGGAAUUCACUAUGCCAGUAACCAGUCCAACAUGUGAACAAUUUCAUCAUUGAGAUACAAAAUGAAGCAAUAUCAUGCAACACAUACAGUUGAAUUGUCUUUCCAUUCUAGCCUCCAUAGCACUAACCACCCUGGGCACUUUUCUGCCUUUCCCAACCUCCUGAUCUCUCUCCAGGUCACCUGUCUCAAACCGUGAUCUAACAACAUUCCACAGAGAAUUCUUGGUUAUUUUCCAGCCUCUCAUUUUCUCCUUUAUGUGUGGUGUGUAGGAGGUGCCAACAUGUGGCUAGCAGUAGAUUGAUUUGUAACUAUUUGUUUGAGUGUAUUCAGGUCAAUGUGAGGGUACAUAGGUAGAGUGGCUGACCUUGUGUGAACAUUGAAUGCGAUGAGUGAGUGUCUGUGUGAGUCUAUGAGUGUAUAUGUUCUGCGUAUUAAUCGCUACAUUUGUACUUUGACACUCAGGACCAGUUCAGGACCAGAUUAGGACCAGUUCUGGACCAGAUUAGGACCAGUUCAGAACCAGAUUAGGACCAGAUUAGGACCAGUUCAGGACCCGUUCAGGACCAGAUUAGAACCAGAUUAGGACCAUAUUAGGACCAGAUUAGGACCAAUUCAGGACCAGAUUAGGACCAGUUCAGUAGGUUUUAAAUCGAGCCCCUCUGACACAGAAACGUAAAUCCAUACACACACACACACACACACACACACACACACAUGCCAUGGAGCAGUGGCCUACUUGGUUCCCAACAGAUAAAGUUGAAAGUUGAAUGAAGAUGUUCACUAACACAACAGAAGAGGAAGCAGAGUGGAUAUUGAGUCUCUAUUUUUAGAGAAGAUAUUGAGUCUAUUUUUAGAGUGGAUAUUGAGUCUCUAUUUUUAGAGGAGUAGAUAUUGAGUCUAUUUUUAGAGUGGAUAUUG